UACGUAGGGGGCAAGCGUUGUCCGGAUUUAUUGGGCGUAAAGAGCGUGUAGGCGGCCACACAGGUCAGCUGUGAAAACUCGAGGCUCAACCUCGAGACGUCGGUUGAAACCGUAUGGCUAGAGUCCGGAAGAGGAGAGUGGAAUUCCCGGUGUAGCGGUGAAAUGCGCGGAUAUCGGGAAGAACACCCGUGGCGAAGGCGGCUCUCUGGGACGGUACUGACGCUGAGGAGCGAGAGCGUGGGGAGCAAACAGG
rnacentral:rRNA from 1 species